ACUCGAGUGGCGAACGGGUGAGUAACACGUGGGUGAUCUGCCCUGCACUUCGGGAUAAGCCUGGGAAACUGGGUCUAAUACCGGAUAGGAGCCAUUUUUAGUGUGAUGGUUGGAAAGUUUUUUCGGUGUAGGAUGAGCUCGCGGCCUAUCAGCUUGUUGGUGGGGUAAUGGCCUACCAAGGCGGCGACGGGUAGCCGGCCUGAGAGGGUGGACGGCCACAUUGGGACUGAGAUACGGCCCAGACUCCUACGGGAGGCAGCAGUGGGGAAUAUUGCACAAUGGGCGCAAGCCUGAUGCAGCGACGCCGCGUGGGGGAUGACGGCCUUCGGGUUGUAAACUCCUUUCGCUAGGGACGAAGCUUUUUGUGACGGUACCUAGAUAAGGAGCACCGGCUAACUACGUGCCAGCAGCCGCGGUAAUACGUAGGGUGCGAGCGUUGUCCGGAAUUACUGGGCGUAAAGGGCUCGUAGGUGGUUUGUCGCGUCGUCUGUGAAAUUCCGGGGCUUAACUCCGGGCGUGCAGGCGAUACGGGCAUAACUUGAGUACUGUAGGGGUAACUGGAAUUCCUGGUGUAGCGGUGAAAUGCGCAGAUAUCAGGAGGAACACCGAUGGCGAAGGC
rnacentral:rRNA from 1 species